CAGGUAUCCCCUCCCCUUCUGCUGUCUGCCAUAGUGGAAACAGCCUGAGGCCCUUGCCAGAUAUAGAUGUUCAAACCUGGACUUUCCAGCCACCAGAAUCGUCAGCCAAAUAAACUUCUUUUCUUUCUAAAUCAUCCAGUUUCAGAAUUUAUUGAUGAGAAGCCAUCGAGGCCUGUGUUGAAGAUGGGUACUUCUAGAAUAGGUUUGCAUUUGUUUCUGUCAGUUGCCUGGAAACUACAAAUUAAGGUUUACUGUGAACUUAAUUCUUGACUUGAAUUUUUUGGACUCUAAAGAACAGUGUGAAUUUGAGCUGCAAGACUGUUGACAAGGUUUUUCCAUAUUGCCCAGGCUGGUCUUGAACUCCUGAGCUCAAGUGAUCUUGCCUGCCUUGGCCUCCCAAAGUGCUCAGAUUACAGGU
rnacentral:lncRNA from 1 species